UUUAAAAAUCAGGGGAGCUUCGGCUGAGAGGAGUAUUAACUCGACCCUUUACUUGAUGCAGGUAAUGCUGCCGUAAGGAGACCAAUGAAAGAAUUA
rnacentral:ncRNA from 1 species